GACAGAGGGUGCGAGCGUUAAUCGGAAUAACUGGGCGUAAAGGGCGUGUAGGUGGUAAGUUAUGUUUGAUGUGAAAGCCCUGGGCUUAACCGAGGAAUGGCGUCAAAGACGGGCUUGCUAGAGUGAGAGAGAGGGUCGUGGAAUGUCCGGUGGAGCGGUGAAAUGCAUAGAGAUCGGACGGAACACCAGCGGCGAAGGCGGCGAUCUGGUUCUUAACUGACACUGAGGCGCGAAGGCGUGGGGAGCAAACAGG
rnacentral:rRNA from 1 species